rnacentral:tRNA from 2 species
GGCGGCAUCGCCAAGUGGUAAGGCAACGGUCUGCAAAACCGUUAUCUCCGGUUCAAAUCCGGAUGCCGCCUCCA